GGGGAUGUGGCUCAGUGGUAGAGCUUUUGGCCUUGCAUGAACAAGGCCCUGGGUUUCAUCCCCAGCACUACCA
rnacentral:tRNA from 1 species